UGUGUGCUCUGGAACUCUGCCUUCUGCAGUCCCCACCUCCUCCUUCCUUUCGGAGAGACUCAGAAAGAAUUCUUGAGCAAGGGCAGAGCACAAAAGAAAGAUGCGUACCUGCACAAGGCUAGGAGACAGGAGGAGUCCGAGAGAUACAAUAUAGAUUUUAAAGGCAUCACCGCAAAGACAAUAUUUUCGCUUUGUGCUUUUUUUUUUAAAUCUGGCAAAGAAAGAGGACACAGCUUCUUCUUUGCACAUAUGAUCAGGGGACAAGCAGAGGUGUAACGUUAACAAUUAUUACAGUGAAAAUGCCUCUGAUUUUUGCUUUAUGGGUUGUAACGGUUUUUGUUUUAAGAAGGUCCUAUGCAGACCCAGUAACUCAGCCAGAAGGCACCGUUCCCGUCCACGAAGGAAAACCCGUGCUUCUCAACUGCACUUUCGACUAUGCUGGGGUUCCAGAUCUCUACUGGUACGAGCAGCAUCCCCAUGAAGCCCCUCGCCUGUUGCUGACACAAUAUGAAGCCUCGGACGAGGAGGAGAAGAGACGCAGUCGAGGGUUCUCUGCUAAACUCGAGAAAAACUCCAAAUCCUUCCACCUGGAGAAAAACUCCAGCGAAGUGAGCGACUCUGCUGUCUAUUACUGCGCCUUGAGAGACACAGUGAGCAAAGCCACCAGGGGAAACUGUACAAAAACCCCACUGGGUGAGAAACACAAAGGACUGAAAUAGCUGAGGCUGUGGGUGUCUCAAGAGCUCAAAAGUGUUUGAAUGUUCAUAACCGGGUACAGAGAGAGCAGAUCCUCUCUCUUUAACACUUUCAAAAAUUCUGUCAUGCUCUAAUCCCCAUUCUUUAGUCUAGUCCAGGUUCGGGGUAGGUCAAAGGUUAGGGGUAAGGGACUGGGGUGUUGCCUGUAUGGCAAUAAGUUAGAAUUUAGGGUUACAUUUAUUGUUAUCGGUAAGGGUUAGGGGUUAGGGUUAUGGCUAUUUUAAGGUUAUGGUUAAGAUUGGAGUUAAAGCUUUAGAAUUGGAGCAUGGUUAGAAGCUAAAGGGUGGAAAUUGGGGUUAGGCCUAUUUUAGGGUUAGUGUUGUAAAUUUGGGUUUAGGAUUAGUCCUAAGAAGUUAGUGCUAGCACUAGGUUAGGGGUAGGAUUAUGUUUCUAGUUACCAUUUUCCUUAGGGUUAUGGUUAGAGAAAUUGCUGUGUUAGGUUAGGAUUUAGGGUUAAAGCGAGGGCUAGAAGUAGGAUUAGAAUUAGGAUUGGAUUUCCAUUUAGUGUUAGGGUCAGAGUUAAAUUUUUGAUUAGGGUUGGGGAUAGGAUUAAGGGAAAGUAGGAUUAGAGUUGGUAUUAGGGUUAGGUAAGGGUAGUGGUACAGAUAAGUUAGGGUUAGGUAAGGGUGAGGGUUUUGGCAAUUUUUAGGUUAGGGUUAAGGUUGGUCUUCUGUUUAGGGUUAGGAUUUCAGCAUUAGGUUAUGGCUCUGCUGGAAUUAGGGUAAGGGUUUAGGAUAAAGGUUCAAAGUUCAUAGCAGGGCUGGGGGAUUGGUUUAGCGUUAGAAUUUUGAGUUACGGUUUAAGAUUACAGUUAGGGUAGAGCACUGAAAUUGCUCACAAUUCUAAAGGAAACCAGGAAAUGCAGGAUCAUAGUGGAUCAGGCUUCACUUAGUCCAGUAUUCUGUCUCCAGAGGCAGCCAGUACAAAGCUGCUUCAGAGGAAGGUCCAAGGGACCCUUUGCUGGAUCGAUAUGGUGGAACCUGCCCAUAGGGAAAAUUUCUUUCUACACCCCACCCCACUCAUGCGACAUUAUUUUACACCCUAGAGCAGGAAGUUUAUUUCCUUUACUCACUCAGAUAAUAUUUUAAUUGACCCCUCAGUUUUUAU